rnacentral:lncRNA from 1 species
UAUAUGAGUAUUAUCUGUGUUUUUUGUUAGUUUUCUGGAAGUGCUUAGAAUAUUAAAUUCUGUUAUCUUCUAUAGAAAUAUUUGAAGGUUUGCUGCUUAUAAAUAAAGAAAAGCAUUUAGGCCUUUGUGUUUUUAUUGAAAAGAAUUGUUUUAACCGGUAUAUAAAUACGGUAGUUAAAUUUAUCAUUCGUGUAGCGUGUUGUUUAAAAAAAGAUUAUCGGUAUUCUGAAAAAUUACGACGUCCCUCGAUAAUCCAAUUAUGUUAUCUCCUACGCCAACAUCUGUGCAGGAAGGGGAGAAUGGAAAACAGCAAUUUCCGACUUGCCUAGUAAAAUCGCAACUUCUAUCUUUUGUCUAACUGUCAGUCCGAAGUGUAACGGCAGCUGGCGGAACGCGUGACUGGCCUACAAGGUCCUCAUUGAGACCAAAGGACACCGGGCUAUUUACUCAUCACGUCGAUAAGUCCCGUCUGCGUAAGACGGCCGAGCGAACCGAGUCUGGUUUUUGUUUCUUUUAGGGAAAAUGUCAGUGGGCAGAGAGGCACCUGCACCGUUUUUACACUUACAGAAAUAUGUCGCUCGAGUAAUCCAUCAGGAAGUUAUCAGACACUACACGUGUCUUGUCACGAAGCACGGCGACCAGGUGAAAGUGACAGCGGGCGGAGUGCUGUUGGAAAUUGAUGAUCGGUCGGGAGAUGCCUGGCAAUUACGUCUACGACAUUAAAGCGUCGGAGGAGGCAUUCUGUUCACAAUCCGGCAAAAAUAUUUCCAUUUUUAGAUGUUCUUCCCGGCCGAUUAAAAGUCAUUCUCCCGAAAAAAAAACCUAGUCCAAAACACGCCGCUUAUGGAACCAUUUUUCGUUUUCUGAGAAAAUGCUUUCGGCCUUGGGAACGUCCAUAAAAACAGUCGGGCACCAAAUGACGUCAGGAUUUUAAUCAAAACUCCGAUUGUAAAUAUACAUCUCGGCACGUGUUCGACUUUGCUAGUUAUUUAAUUACAAUGUCCGUCUAAUACGCGAAUCGGCGGGGUGCUGGUGCGUCGUUGGUCUCAUUCAUCAGAAGACGAAGCCUUCUAUAUCUAGUAAAUCAUGUUUAAUGAAAAGGAAGUAUAAUAAAGUGCGUUAUGUCGGUGAUAAAUGACCACAAUAUAGCCGCAACCAUUGUGACGUUCUAUCGGAAAUUGGCGGUCUGCGACCAUACACGUAUUAAUGCGCAGCGCUGGUGGAUUUAAAUCGAAUUUAUGAAAAUGCUCCCGAGUAAAUUUAAAAUGAUUAAAGCGCCCGAUUAAUCCAGAUAAUUUUAAGCGGAAAAAAAAUUCUAGUCGACGUAACUUCUGCUGAUUAACGCGUUUUUAAAGCGAUGCAGGAUAAGUAAAACAGCACUUAAAACGGCCAAAGGGUGGAGCGACACGCUAAGAAUUUCGGACUGCAAAAAUCCGUGUCGUGUAAUGACGAUUCGGGGUACGAGGGAGCUAACAAUGUGUUCCCGAGGAAGAAGAAAGCAGAGUCCAGUAAAAUAUUUGACCCCGGUCUGGCAGGACAGGUAACAGGGCAUGCAUGUGGCACCGUCUGUCCGUCUGAUUGGUGGAGGCUUCUUCAUAGCGUGCUUUACGUUCCAAUGCUGCGCGCCCCGGGCAAGACGUUUCAUUAAGUAUCCCGGCGGGAGACGAGGCCCGCCACGCUGUCUACAGACUCAAGACAGUCCAGAGAUUGAUGAUUGAAAAAAAAGAUCGUUCUUUGCCAUAGAAAAAGCACAAAAAAGCGCAUUUUAACUCUCCCUCCAUCCGAGUCACGGCCACUUGUAAAAUUUAUCCAGCUAUACGCCAUGCUUUUCUGCAGAUUACACCGGUCGGUCGAGUCUCGAUCGUCCAUCAAGAAAAGGUGGCGGAUUUUGGUGGCGCGCUUCUCCAAAAGGAAAAAUGUUAUCCGGUCGCAAAAUAUUAGUCGGUGUAAAAGGAUUACAACUAUAAAGAAAGAUUAUUGAUUCGGAAAUUUGUGUGGCUCGUAAACUUAGUUAGACCAACAGCUGUCUAUCUUCUUGAACACAAACGCUUUAACCCUAGUUUCCCGGAACCAAACCUCUAGGUACAUUCAUUCUGGUGACAAGAUUAAUGAUGCAGUGCCAUCCACAGGGAUGGAACAAAGACACGCCCUGAUCGAGGUUACUCUCACACAUAGCAAACUAAGACAGUUGUAAGUAGUCAUUAGUCUUUCCAAACGUCUGAACUAUUGUUGGCGCGGCCAUAUUUUUUUCGCGCAAUUCAUAAGGUACAUCGCUUACGUCUUCUAUUGUUUGGGGUGAGCAAUGUUCGGCCGUAAUUGCUUAAUGUUUGCAUCUGUUGACCGAAUUAACAUUUACGAUUAAAUAUGGAAAGCGCAUUUAACUACCGAAGGUGGUCUAGCGGUGACGUAUUUUCUUCGACGUAAGUCACGCGCAAACCUAGUAUUUCGAAGUAAGCCAAUUUUAAUUCCGAUUCGAUGUUUUAGGUGGAAAAACACGGACCUGUAAGGUUGUCCGAGGUUUUUAAUUCGAAAAUUCCUUUUGACAAAUGUGGAAGAUGGAGCCGCUAGUAAUUCAACCAACAGAUGUCGCUGGAAGCGAGCGCCCCACCUACUGGCUAUUGUUGAAGUGACCACUUCAGAAUCCUUGGAGACAAAAGAACACUUUCUGCGGGUCACGUGACGGUGUGGGUGUAAAGCCGAGCCCGAGGCAUUAUCUUUAUCUUGUUGUACAUGUUGGGGUUAAUCUGCACGUGCAAUUCUGACACCCAGCGAGCCCAGCGAUAAGAUCGCGAAACCUCCCCGGUCGGUAGGGCUUGUCCCUCUUUCUGACUGAUAGGCUAAUAGUGUUGCCCUAUACAAUCGUUGUCCUUUAAUUCUCCGAUUCCUCGAGACAAAGGACAAAUAAUUCAUCAAGUGGGAUGGAAAGUUCUCCGAAUUCAUGGCUGGGGGACAUAGUGGCACGGUCAAAAAAAAAAAAAAAACGCAGUUGGCCACCACACUGAUGGGAUAGUUUUCUCGGUGGAUCGAUAGAAAUGUUUCAAAAAAAGCAGAAAAUAAUUUGCAUACGUCAAGUUGUCAACUGCAUAAUAGGUCAGUCAGUAACUGGGGAUGUCCCGCCUUCCCCAGUGAACCAGGCGAACAAUAUUGUUAUUCUUAAUAAUUCAUUCGAAUUCAGGCAGGCGUCUCCCUCUAAUACUAUAGUCGGGGGCCGAGUCCCCUGGGUACUUAAUGAAGUAGAAUUACUCUACACAUAUUGCGACAGAAAAUGAAACCACAAAUACGCUUAACGCCUAGCCGAUAACGAUCGGGAGCAUUAAUAUUCCGGGGUAGGCGUCUGGGUACCCUAUUACACCCGGUUUACCGGUAGCUUAAAGGAGCGUAGAAAGCGUGUAGGUUAAGGCGAAAGUUGGAUAGAGAGAGAGAGAGAGAAAACUACUCAUUUGUGAAAGAUGAAAUUGUACGUGGGCAAUAAGGCCGAUGGGCUUAGAAAAGUAGAAGAAACAGCUGUUAUCUAACGGUGAUUGUGUGGCAACAAAAUCUGGCCAUUCCAGUGACAUUUCCAGUCCGAGACGACAAUAGCUGGACACGAAGCUGUCAUCGGCACACGAAACCGUCCAUUAGCAAAAACUCGUUAGUCUAUAUCCGGCUGCAUCCAGCGACAAUGGACAGAGGUAGCGGUCCCAAUCUGCCCAUCACCGCAGGAUAUCAACCAAACUGUCAUCGACAGGCCCGAGGAAUCCAGUCGGAUGCCAAUUACCCAGCAAAUCACACCGAACAUAGAUACAGGCGUCUAAUUUAAAAUUGCAUUUUUGGCCAUAAACCAGCGCCUCCAUCGCUUUUGUCGUUCUUCCAAAACGCCGGUAAACAAACUACCUGCGGCUAACGCGGAAAUUGUAACUAAGCUAUGUUUAUGUCAUCUGUUAUCACUAUUAGCGUCAGCCCAGAAGUCUACUUACCGCUAACAGGCAUGUUGGGCCUGAAAAUUAUAGGUUUGCGUGUCCUCUCCUAUCACUGAUCUAUUAACUAAGUUAAUUUACGACUUCACUAUUUGACUUUUCCGUGUCCACCACUCGUACUUCCCUUUCAAUCAUCCCUUCUCCUUCCUCCCUAUUUUUACGCAAAUUUUCUUCCUACCACAUCUAUUUCUAACUCUUUUAACCGUGAAAAAAUGGGAUAUUGGCAGAACCGCGCGUAAAAGGGCAGAUGCAGCCCAGUGAAGUGCAGGUGGUAUGGAGUAUGAGCGUGGGUGUGGCCCCACCAGGUGCAAAAAGUGACAAGAGAUGUUACUUUUGAUUGGUAAAUGUUUUCAGAUAAGGAAUUAUUACUCCAGCGACACACGUCGUCUUAAAACACUUCUCUAAAAACGAAAUUCUUUCCAGACGUCCGUUUUUUUUUUUCCUCCAUUUCGGACAUUUUCGUCACGAAAAUUACCGUUAAGUCAUCGUACCUCGAUUCAAACAGGUGGCAGGCAAUUUGUAUUUUUGCAUCUGCGUUAAAAAACCGACGACACGUGUUUGAUUAAUUAGACAACCACACCUUUUCGCGUUACAGGUGUGAAACGUAGUCUAAGAGAUCUUGGUCGAUACAUCAUCGACAAAAUUGAAAAUGCGAAGUUUUUUUUUUUAUAUUUGUUCGUGAUACAGAAACGUAUGGGGACUGGCGUGGUAGCCAAGUUUUCCUCCGUGUGUAAAAUGGUCAGUAGCCUCGAAAAGGGGGCCCAACGUUGUAAACGGUGAAUCUUAACCUCAACCUGUUUCUGCUGUCUAAAUAAUAGAUUGAACGGGUAAAAUAUAAUAAUUCUUUAGGAAUGAUGCCUCAAUCCGGGAGAUUUAUAAGCUAAAUCAAACAUAGUUCACUAAGACGCGAAUUUGCGGGUAUUUUCUUUCUUUUUUUUUCUAGAUUUUAUUAAAGGCCCAGUUGCCAGGGGCGUGUAUCUGCUCCGAGAAGAAUCCCCAGAGACGUAUUAGUCCAACCUAUAAACAUAAGUUGUUGGUUGGAUGUGUCGGCCGUAUCUCACCUUACCCGAUGGAGUGUAAAUCAAAGUUGUCACGUGGAUCGUUACCGUCGGGAAGUGUAGCGUCAAUCUCUACCAGAAAAACAACCAAUCAAGCGCAAUGACCAGAAUACGCCCUUAGCUUUAAUCAUGGACGAGUGUGGCCAAUAAGGAGGAGUAGACGUCGUGUAACAUUUUAAUGACAUUGUGCCAAUUUUCGAUAUGUACACAAGUGCCUAAUUGGCAUUCCGCUAUUUAUGCUCGGAGGUCAUCCUAGUUACAAAUGAGCGACUUAUUCAUGUAUGAACGGUGGAGUGGCUAAAAUGACUUUUUCCUCACGCAGAAUAAACCAUAUUUAAUUACCUUUUCACCUUGUUAUCGGAAUGGCCGUCCAGAAAUAACUUCAAUAAAUAUGGAGUUAAAAGUCUGGUUAAUGGAAAGGCCCAAAAUUAAGCGCAAUAAUUAAUCACCCAACCCUUAAAACUUCGAACUGUCAAUUAUAUUUUCUGUGUUAAUUAUAAAAGUUUCGAAAUUUUCGAAAUAUGACUUUUUAAUGAGAUUACGCAAAGAGACAAGGAACGGAGAAUGACUCGUUACCCAGUUGUUGCCAAGUCUUUUCCAAUUAAAAUUUAUUACUUUAUUAUCUUUCCAAAUAAUAAAAGUAAAUAAAAUUCCCUCGAGAUUUUUUUUUCUUCUUCUUCUUCUUUUUCUUUACAUCUAGUUUUAAUUUGACACAAACUAUAUGAGUCCCGGAUCCUAAACAAUUUCUUCG